AUACGUAGGGGGCGAGCGUUGUCCGGAAUGAUUGGGCGUAAAGGGCGCGUAGGCGGCGCGGUAAGUCUGGAGUGAAAGUCCUGCUUUCAAGGUGGGAAUUGCUUUGGAUACUGCCGCGCUUGAGUGCAGGAGAGGUUAUCGGAAUUCCCGGUGUAGCGGUGAGAUGCGUAGAGAUCGGGAGGAACACCAGUGGCGAAGGCGGGUAACUGGACUGCAACUGACGCUGAGGCGCGAAAGUGUGGGGAGCAAACAGGAUUAGAUACCCUGGUAGUCCACACUGUAAACGAUGAAUGCUAGGUGUAAGAGGUAUCGACCCCUUUUGUGCCGGAGUCAACACAAUAAGCAUUCCGCCUGGGGAGUACGGCCGCAAGGUUGAAACUCAAAUGAAUUGACGGGG
rnacentral:rRNA from 1 species